GGGUCCCAGAACUCUUAUCUGUAGAGAACCGUUUGAAACCAAGGUGUGCACUAUCAUGCAUAAGGCAUGUCGAGAUAUCAGCCGAACAGCGGGGGUUAAACAUAGAUAUCUCUAAUCUGCGUCCCCCACACACCCGGUUUGCAGACAGAAUGUCACGACAUCCCCUCCUGUUGUUGGCGUGUAGCAUACAUCUCUCAAAAAACUCAUUCCGAACUUUUAGAUAGUUAGGGACAGAACUAUUUUUUAACGUUGUCAGCAUUGCUUUAGCGCAAACAUAAAGGCCCGAAUAUUGAGCUGCACGGACAGAUUAAAAUAAUAAUAAUAAUAUUCGGAAUAAGGGAAUCUCGCAUAAUGGAUAUUUCUGGAGGUGAGUAAAUGAAAAAAACAUAUUUUAAGAUUUGUUUGAAUAUUAUUGGAAUAUUAAACCCUAGUUAUUUGGGUAUUUCAGGCCAAAAGCCCAAUAUAGGUUUAAAAAAAAAAAAAAAAGUGUAGAUAUAGCGUAUAACUGUUAACAUUGUCUAAUGGAAUCUAGGAUCCCCGACAUUUACGCAGCUUUUACGCGAUUUACCUGAUCUGGAACAUGAUGGGGGUUCGCAGGAGCAAAAGUCUGGCAGACAAUCACCAACGGCCUUUUUUCGUUCCGACAUACAGCCCUUUAUGAUAAAGGAUGCGUUAUGGCCAGCUGACACGCAGGACUUUGAUGCAAUUCUACCGUUCUGUACGAGCGCUUUUUCAAACUCACCGCGAAUCCAGGGAACAUCGACCCCCUCCCGACAUAUUCCAGACCCCAACAGGCAACGAUCAACUGUGGCCCAAGUACACUGCUCAGAAUCAAGCCCACCCGAAAACUACUGUUGGGCCGGGAACUUGCUGCUUCACGAGCCGGCGCUCCAGGGACAAGACUGCCCGGAGACAGACCCAGCAGAAUCUGAAACGCUAGAGGGAAAAAGUCACACACCCCCGGUUUCGGCGAUUCGUCACAACAAGCGCCAAAAAAGCCGAGACUCCGCACCGGCGAAAAACGGCACAGACGACCACAUAAAUCUAGAGCUGGGGGAUUCCGGCGCCCCGAGCAUUCCGAAUGAAACACCCAAGAGACCUGUUUUUAAUGACAUGUCAGAUGUUGAUGACCAGCUAUUCUGUGAUGCGGCCAACCUUAUAAACCCAGUCAAUUCUACGGCCUCAAUACCUGCAGCCGAACAAGAAAGGUUUUUCACAUUAUUUUCCAGGGCUUUGAAAUCGAGGAAUGUUUUGCUAUACAAACGACUGGGGGAUUUAAUUGAGAGACAGUACAGAGACGAUAUGUUAUUCUGGCAUAGAACAAUUCCACGCAUGUUAAACAGCAACCCCAUUAAAAAACGUGAAUACAGACGCUAAAAUCAUACAUGUAACACCAACCAUUACAGAAAGAAAAAAACGAACACUCUUAAUUAUCCAAAAAUGGCAGAACUAACGCAACACGGGGAGACAGUUGAAAGCCUCUUAUCCCAGAUUCCAGACGAACUCCUAGAAGUUAUAAGACGUAUGAACGAUUCAGGAACGUUAGAUGAAAGCAUAUUAACACAGAUUCCAGCCGAACUCUUAGAAAUGAUUAAUCGUAUGAACCAGUCAGGGGGGGUUGAGGAAAACAUGUUAUCCCAGAUUCCCGAAGCCCUCAUAACCUUAAUUAAUCGUAUGAACGCGAGUCAGACAAUUUCCGCCCCGACAAACCCGACAACGAUAGAACAACCCGUAACGCCUAGGUCCGUAGAGUCUGAAACGCCACAAGAUGUUUUUGGGGAAUUGGACAAUUAUCUAAUAAAUCUGGCUGCAGAUGUUCAGGAUAGACGUGUCAGGGUUGUUUACAGGAAUAAAUUCAACAAUACAGAGAUUCGACAGUUUUUCAAUUUCCUAUGUGUGAAUCAGAAUCUUGACUAUGCUGUAUUUUACAUGAUGAUAAUGGACACUCUGAAUGACCUGUUAGAAACAGCAAGAGAUUAUGGCGAACCUCGUGAUGUCUUACAGUUGGAAAUAUGUGGAGAUAGCCUGCAUAAUUCAGUAUCUCUUAUUUUACCCAAUGGCGAAGCAGAUCUUGAACAAUUUACAGCGCUGGUAGAACGCCUUGUUCAGUCAAAUUUAGCCAUCAUAGCCGAUCGAACCCUAGAGCUUGUAGUGCAAAUAAUACGUCAACCACAGGGGGGCGGUGGGCAGAGAAGGAAGCUUGAUAGCCUAAUGCAGUCAGAAAUCAUAAGCAAUAAAAGGGCCUACCUCAUAAACGUUCACAAUCCCGAUAAUAAGCUAUGUUUUGCAAUAGGCCUAGCGCAUUUACUUAACCCCGGAUGUACUGAUCUGACAGCAUUGCAAAAGGCUAGAGAGAUCCAAACGGCGGUGGGUCUCGGGAUCCAUGAAGGCGUGGCAUUCUCAGACAUUGUCAAAUUUGAAAACCUUCUGAAUAUCAAGAUUGUGGUUUUGUACCACAGUAGAGCUAAUGCAGCUCUCUUGAAGUUCCAAAACACCCCCCAACCGCACCCCCAGAUUCUGUAAUUUUAUGUGCAAAACGAACAUUACUAUGCCGUUGUAACGGCGUUCCUAGGGGCAGCCUAUGUGUGUAGAUCCUGCCAUACCGGCUACAGCCGAAAGGGGGGGAACUCGUGCCGUUAUAACUGUUCGGUAUGUCAGGAUGCCGAGUGCCAUAUGCAGACCCUAAACUUGACACCAUGUGAGGAUUGCCAUCGCACAUGUCGUUCGACCUACUGUUACGAUAAACACAAAAUUGAAACAUGGCACCCUAAGGCCGGUAAAUCUGUAAGCAUUUGUGCCAUUAACAAGAAAUGCCCAAAAUGUCAUUGCAAUUACAGCCUUAAAAUAGAUAGCCCUAAACCACAUGUUUGUGGAAUCCUACAGUGUCCAAUCUGUAAAGGGGGUCUGAAAAGCAGAAAUGCUGAAGUGGUUCAAGAAGUGACACACGAGUGUUAUAUUCAGCCCUUGGCUGAAGAUGAACCUUCAGAGAAAUAUGUGUUCUAUGAUUUUGAGACAAAUCAACAAUCGGGGGAUCAUUUGCCUAUUUUUGUAUCUACCAUGACAUUCACGGGGGAAAAGUGGUCUGCAGAAGGAUCCAAUUGUGCACUACUCUUUCUAAAACAUUUUAGAAAACCACAGUACCGAAACUUUACGUUCAUAGCGCACAAUGCUAGAGCCUACGACUCGUACCUUCUUCUGAACCCCUUGAUAAAGCAAGGCAUAGCGCCGAGGGUCCUAGCGCAAGGGAGUAAAAUCCUGUGUUUUGUUGAUCCCGCCUUCAACCAGAGAUACAUUGACAGUUUAAGCUUCUUACCCAUGAGAUUGGCUCAAAUGCCAGAGGCCUUGGGUUUUGAAAACUCUGUGAAAGGCUGGUUCCCCCACUUCUUCACAUCUGAGGAGAAUCUACACUAUAUAGGAUCAUAUCCCAGCCCAGAAAUGUAUGGGUGUGAUCAAAUGUCUCCCAAAGAGCGAGAGAGAUUCAUGACUUGGUAUGAGACAGUAAGACAUGGCACCUUUGAUUUCCAUAAAGAGAUGGAAUCAUACUGUGACAAUGAUGUGGUUAUACUUCGUGAAGGAUGCCUCAGAUUCAGAGAAGAGGUAAUCAAAGAUGCAGGUAUUGACCCUUGGAGUUGUACAACGAUUGCAUCGGCAUGCAUGAAAACAUACCGUACACACUAUAUGCCGACAUCCUCUAUAGCGAUCCCCUCGCCUGACAACUACCGACGCCAGUUCAAGGCCUACUCUAGUGGGUCCAUUCAAUGGCUAGAGUAUAUGGCCCAGGAUAAAGACAUUUUUAUUCAACAUGCUUUGAAUCGAGGGGAGAAGGCGUUUGGCUCUUACCAUGUAGAUGGCUACACCAAGAUUGACGGGGUUGAGACCGUGUAUGAGUACAACGGUUGUUUCUUCCAUGGUUGCAAAUCUUGCUUUGUGCCCCAGAACAUAUGUGUCCUAACCCAAAAUACUUUUGGGGAAAUGUACCAAGAGUUUCAAGACAAAGUUGAUUCGUUACAGGCUACUUACGGUCUAAAAGUGGUUGUUUUGUGGGAGCACGAAUGGACAGCCCUCAAAAAGUCUGAUCCUCAUGUUCAAGCAUUCCUUUCCAGCUUUGACAUCCCAGAACCUCUGGAGCCAAGACAGGCCUUGUAUGACGGCCGUACCAAUGCUUUGACAUUGAGGUAUGUAGCGCAACCCGACGAGACAAUAGGCUAUGUGGAUUUUACAUCCCUUUAUCCGCAUGUAAUGAGUUCCUCAUGCUAUCCUAUAGGUCAUCCUGAAAUUAUUCAUCGUGAUUUUGACUUACCUCAAAACUAUUUUGGUCUGAUCAAAGCAACAGUCUACCCUCCAAGGGGUUUGUUUAUACCUGUGUUGCCUUACAGGGGCCCUCAAGGAAAACUUUUCUUUCCCCUUUGUCGCACCUGCAGUGAAAACAUACAACAAAACCCAUGUGAUCACACAGAUCAAGAAAGAGCACUGACAGGUGUAUGGGUCACAGCUGAAUUCUCUAAGGCUUUAGAGAUGGGGUAUCGUGUGGCCAAAAUCUUUGAAGUAUGGAACUUUCCAAAGAAAUCAGACACUCUUUUUAAAGAGUACAUCAAGACCUUCUUGAGAUGUAAGCAAAUGGCUUCAGGCUAUCCUGCAUCGGUCACAGAUCAAGAAAGUAAAGACAGGUACAUUCAAGACUAUCAUGACAGAGAAGGCAUCCUUCUUGACCCUGACAGAAUAGAGGUCAACAAAACCAAACGAAAUGUGUCGAAAUUGUACCUAAAUUCGCUUUGGGGCAAAUUAGCGCAGAGGUGUAAUAUGUUGACAACGUCGAUUAUUAAAGACCCUGAAGAAUUUUUGGAAUUCAUUUUUUCGGACCAAUACGAAAUUUCACAUUUUUCAUUCUUGAGUCAAGACAUUGCCUUGGUGCAAUGGCGACGUAACAAGAAGUGGGUUCUACCCCCGGGUAAUGUAAAUGUGUUUCUUGCAGCAUUUACCACGGCCUAUGGCCGACUUGAACUGUACAAGCUCAUGGAGCAGCUUCAGAGGCGGGUACUUUACCACGACACAGACUCUGUGGUCUAUGUAAGCAAACCAGGGGAUUGGAGCCCCCCCACUCAGCAACUAUCUGGGUGGCUUAACGAGCGAACUCGCAGAGGGUGACCAUAUCACAGAAUGGUCAUCCUGUGGGCCCAAAAGCUAUGCUUUUAGAACGCUAAAGAAUCACGUGGUAUUGAAAGCCAAAGGAGUGACUCAAAACUAUGAAAAUGCCCAGCGUGUAAACUUGGAAUCAAUCACACGCUUGGUCGAGGGGUUCCUAAAUGACAGGAAUAGUGACUUGGAGAUUUUGAGCUCCUACAAAAAGAUUGUUAGGGAUAAAAAGGGCUUCCAUCUGAGGAAUGCCCCACUCAUUAAAAGAUUCAGGGUUGUCUAUGACAAGAGAGUGCUUUUGCCUGACGGGACUACAUUGCCCUAUGGCUACUGACUUAUGCUACAGGCCGCAGUGUGUCAGGCGUGACUCAAAAACUAUGAAAAAAAAUACACCUCGUGUAAAAACUAGGAAUCAAUCACACGUUUGUUUGAGGGGUGGUUCCUAAAUGACAGGAAUAGUGACUUUGAGAUUUAGGAGCUCCUACAAAAAGAUUGUUGUGUAAAAUAAAGGGCUUCCAUCUGAGGAAGGCCCCACUUACUAAAAGAUUCAGGGUUGUCUAUGACAAGAGACUGCUUUUUGCCUGACUGGACCACAUUACCCCCUUUGGGUGUUGACUUAUGCUACAAGCUACAGGGAUCUUAAAGCUUAAGAUAUAAUGACUGCUGUAGAAGGUUUUGACCCCCGGUUGCAACUACCAUUUUCGGCCUUAAUCGCAGGGCCUUCGAAUAGUGGUAAAACUUGUUUUGUAAAAAGUAUUUUAGAGAAUUCUGAACAUGUGUUAUCUCAAAAGCCUGAUAAUGUUGUGUGGUGUUAUUCAUGUUAUCAACCUCUCUGUAUGAUGAAUUGUUGAAGACAAUAAAAAUCAAGUUUGUUGAAGGAAUACCUGA